rnacentral:rRNA from 1 species
UGGGGAAUAUUGGACAAUGGGGGCAACCCUGAUCCAGCCAUGCCGCGUGUGUGAAGAAGGCUUUCGGGUUGUAAAGCACUUUCAGUAGGGAAGAAAAGCCUGAGGUUAAUACCCUCGAGUCUUGACGGUACCUACAGAAGAAGCACCGGCUAACUCCGUGCCAGCAGCCGCGGUAAUACGGAGGGUGCAAGCGUUAAUCAGAAUUACUGGGCGUAAAGCGCGCGUAGGUGGUUUGGUAAGUCGGGUGUGAAAGCCCCGGGCUCAACCUGGGAACUGCAUUCGAUACUGCCUGACUAGAGUGUGGUAGAGGGAAGUGGAAUUCCGCAUGUAGCGGUGAAAUGCGUAGAGAUGCGGAGGAACACCAAUGGCGAAGGCAACUUCCUGGACCAACACUGACACUGAGGUGCGAAAGCGUGGGUAGCAAACAGGAUUAGAUACCCCCGUAGUCC